UCUAUUUGAUAUAUAUACAAACAGCUUGAUUUAAAAGGAAUACAUACAAGGGAAAAGCGACAAUAUCGUCCCGGCAUCAACAGAGAUCCAUUCUCGUUCCUGUGUCUUCUGCGAGUGAAAGUUAUCGGAGAUCAUCCGCGAGAUGGUGAAUUUGAUGCAUAAAACUGGAACACAUCAUGGCUUUGGAGACAGACUUCUGUGGCUCUUCAUGACUUGAUGAUUUGUGGAUUCCUGAUUGUAUUGGAACUCAAAAUUCGAAGUCUUCAAUCCCUGUAAGGGAUAAUCAAGAAAAUGUUGGAGUCAGAAGUGUAGAUGGAUAAGCAUGGGUUGAGGCUGCUUUGGACGGGAAAUUGCAGCUUUGGACCUGCAUAUUGCUACAGAAAUAUUCAUCUAUGGGAAGAGUUGUGUGUGACUGGUGUAGGAUACCUUCAUAAGCAGAUUAUUUGUGGUGCUGUGGAUGCUGUGUCUGCAAGACCUUCCUACCUGUCACUUGGAAUUUAGCCCCAGAGAGUUAGACAGUCAUAUUAAUUUGAUGUCGGAAUAAAGGAAUAAAGUGUUGAUAAUU